rnacentral:rRNA from 1 species
UAGGGAAUCUUCCGCAAUGGGCGAAAGCCUGACGGAGCAACGCCGCGUGAGUGAUGAAGGUCUUCGGAUCGUAAAACUCUGUUAUUAGGGAAGAACAAAUGUGUAAGUAACUAUGCACGUCUUGACGGUACCUAAUCAGAAAGCCACGGCUAACUACGUGCCAGCAGCCGCGGUAAUACGUAGGUGGCAAGCGUUAUCCGGAAUUAUUGGGCGUAAAGCGCGCGUAGGCGGUUUUUUAAGUCUGAUGUGAAAGCCCACGGCUCAACCGUGGAGGGUCAUUGGAAACUGGAAAACUUGAGUGCAGAAGAGGAAAGUGGAAUUCCAUGUGUAGCGGUGAAAUGCGCAGAGAUAUGGAGGAACACCAGUGGCGAAGGCGACUUUCUGGUCUGUAACUGACGCUGAUGUGCGAAAGCGUGGGGAUCAACAGG